CUGGGUUUGAGGAAGGAGGAGCAAAGGAUCGAGCAGUCCCUUCACUGCCAACUGGGAGAAGGCAGGGAGGCCACAGGGAGUGCCUGGGAGGAGGUGGGAUAGCGAGGUUGGGAGGUCCGGGCGCAAGCGGCUUGGACCUGGUGAGGACGGCACAGCUGGGGCUGGCUGGGGCCUCAGACAGUAACCCACCCUGGCCCCCCCUCAGCCUCAGGGGUCACCCCAAGGCGGUGUAGCUGUGGGCAGGGGAGACCAUGGCCCGCCUCUUCAGUCCCCGGCCGCCUCCCAGCGAAGACCUCUUCUACGAGACCUACUACAGCCUGAGCCAGCAGUACCCACUGCUGCUACUGCUGCUGGUGAUAGUGCUCUUCGGGCUCUUGGCGCUGCUCGCUGUUGCCUGGGCCAGCGGCAGGGAGCUGGCCUCAGACCCGGGCUUCCUGACCUCUAUGCUGUGCGGGCUGGGCGGCUUCUCGCUGCUGCUGGGCCUGGCUUCCCGCGAGCAGCGACUGCAGCGCUGGACGCGUCCCCUGUCGGGCCUCGUGUGGGCAGCGCUGCUCGCGCUAGGCCACGGCUUCCUCUUCACCGGGGGCGUGGUGAGCGCCUGGGACCAGGUGUCCUUUUUCCUUUUUGUCAUCUUCACCGUGUAUGCCAUGUUGCCCUUGGGCAUGCGGGACGCCGCCGCCGCGGGUCUCGCCUCUUCACUCUCACACCUGCUGGUCCUCGGGCUGUAUCUUGGGCCUCAGCCGGACUCACAGCCCGCGCUGCUGCCGCAGCUGGCAGCAAACGCGGUGUUGUUCCUGUGCGGGAACGUGGCCGGAGCAUACCACAAGGCGCUGAUGGAGCGCGCGCUGCGCGCCACGUUCCGGGAGGCGCUUAGUUCCCUGCACUCCCGCCGGAGACUCGACACCGAGAAGAAGCACCAGGAACACCUUCUCUUGUCCAUCCUUCCUGCCUACCUGGCCCGAGAGAUGAAGGCGGAGAUCAUGGCACGGCUGCAGGCUGGACAGGGGUCACGGCCGGAGAGCACCAACAACUUCCACAGCCUCUAUGUCAAGAGGCACCAGGGAGUGAGCGUGCUGUAUGCUGACAUCGUGGGCUUCACGCGGCUGGCCAGUGAGUGCUCUCCUAAGGACUUGGUGCUUAUGCUUAACGAGCUCUUUGGCAAGUUCGACCAGAUCGCCAAGGAGCAUGAAUGCAUGCGGAUCAAGAUCCUGGGAGACUGUUACUACUGUGUCUCCGGGCUGCCGCUCUCGCUGCCAGACCACGCCAUCAACUGCGUGCGCAUGGGGCUGGACAUGUGCCGGGCCAUCAGGAAACUUCGGGCAGCCACCGGCGUGGAUAUCAACAUGCGCGUGGGUGUGCACUCGGGCAGCGUGCUCUGCGGGGUCAUCGGGCUGCAGAAAUGGCAGUAUGAUGUCUGGUCGCAUGACGUCACUCUGGCCAACCACAUGGAGGCGAGUGGAGUGCCAGGACGAGUACAUAUCACAGGGGCUACGUUGGCACUGCUGGCAGGGGCUUAUGCUGUGGAGGAUGCAGCCAUGGAACACGGGGACCCAUACCUUCGGGAGCUAGGGGAGCCGACCUACCUUGUCAUCGAUCCCCGGGCUGAGGAAGAGGACGAGAAGGGCACUGCAGGCGGGUUGCUGUCCUCUCUUGAGGGCCCCAAGAUGCGUCCGUCACUGCUGAUGACCCGCUACCUGGAGUCCUGGGGUGCAGCCAAGCCUUUCGCCCACCUGAGCCAUGUGGAGAGCCCUGUGUCCACCUCCACCCCUCUCCCAGAGAAGGCCCUGUCUUCCUUCAGCCCCCAGUGGAGCCUGGACCGGAGCCGUACCCCCCGGGGGCUAGAUGAUGAACUGGACACCGGGGAUGCCAAGUUCUUCCAAGUCAUCGAACAGCUCAACUCUCAGAAACAGUGGAAACAGUCAGAGGACUUCAACCCAUUGACACUGUACUUCAGAGAGAAGGAGAUGGAGAAAGAGUAUCGGCUCUCUGCACUCCCCGCCUUCAAAUACUAUGUAGCCUGCACCUUCCUGGUUUUUUUCUCCAACUUCAUCAUCCAGAUGCUGGUGACAAACAGGCCCCCAGCUCUGACCAUCACCUAUAGCAUCACCUUCCUCCUCUUCUUCCUCCUCCUCUUCGUCUGCUUCUCAGAGCACCUGACGAAAUGUGUCUUGAAAGGCCCCAAGAUGCUGCACUGGCUGCCCACACUGUCUGUCCUAGUGGCCACGCGGCCCGGACUGCGAGUUGCCCUGGGCACCGCUACCAUCCUGCUCGUCUUCUCCAUGGCCAUUACCAGCCUGGUCUUCUUCCCGGCAGCAUCCAGCUGCCCUUUCCGGGCUCCCAAUGUGUCCUCCACGGCUUCCAACCUCUCCUGGGAGCUCCCUGGGUCCCUGCCUCUCAUCAGCGUCCCAUACUCCGUGCACUGCUGCGCGCUGGGCUCCCUCUCCUGCUCCCUCUUCCUGCACCUGAGCUUCGAGCUGAAGCUGCUGCUGCUCGUGCUGUGGCUGGCGGCCUCCUGCUCCCUCUUCCUGCGCUCCCACGCCUGGCUGUCCGACUGUCUCAUCGCCCGCCUCUAUCUGGGCGCCUCGGACUCCAGGCCAGGGGUGCUGAAGGAGCCUAAACUGAUGGGAGCAAUCUCCUUCUUCAUCUUCUUCUUCACCCUCCUGGUCCUGGCUCGGCAGAAUGAGUAUUACUGCCGCCUGGACUUCCUGUGGAAGAAGAAGCUGAGGCAGGAGCAGGAGGAGACAGAGACGAUGGAAAACCUGACUCGGCUGCUCUUGGAGAAUGUGCUCCCCGCGCACGUAGCCCCCCAGUUCAUCGGCCAGAAUCGGCGCAAUGAGGACCUCUACCACCAGUCCUACGAGUGUGUUUGUGUCCUCUUCGCCUCAGUCCCAGACUUUAAGGAGUUUUACUCUGAAUCCAGCAUCAACCAUGAGGGGCUAGAGUGUCUGCGGCUGCUCAAUGAGAUAAUUGCUGAUUUUGAUGAGCUGCUCUCCAAGCCCAAGUUCAGUGGGGUGGAGAAAAUCAAAACUAUCUGCAGCACCUACAUGGCAGCUACAGGCUUGAACGCCACCUCUGGACAGGACGCUCAGCAGGAUGCUGAGCAAAGCUGCAGCCACCUUGGCACCAUGGUAGAGUUUGCCGUGGCCCUUGGGUCUAAGCUGGACGUCAUCAACAAGCACUCAUUCAACAACUUCCGCUUGCGUGUGGGGUUAAACCACGGACCUGUAGUGGCCGGAGUGAUUGGGGCCCAGAAACCACAAUAUGACAUCUGGGGCAACACGGUGAACGUGGCCAGCCGAAUGGAGAGUACAGGCGUCCUGGGCAAGAUCCAAGUGACCGAAGAGACAGCCUGCGCCCUGCAGUCCUUAGGCUACACCUGCUACAGCCGGGGCAUCAUCAAGGUCAAAGGCAAAGGGCAGCUCUGCACCUACUUCCUGAACACAGAUUUGACACGAACUGGACCUCCCUCAGCCACCCUAGGCUGAGAACCCCACCCCCUCCUCCCACCUAUAAGAUCCUCAAUAAAGAUACUCUGGCUCAGCAAGAUGACUGCCUCAGCCUUCCUGCCUGCCUGCCAACGUGAUUCCAGUGUUUUGUACCCUUGGAAGCGAAAGGAUUUU